UGCUGUUGACGACUACAACAAGCUUGCUGAACCAACAAAGCAAAUUGUAUCCAGUGAUGCCCUCAUCCAGACCGACAUUUGGCUCUGGCAGAGCACAAGUGAACCUGCUGCUGAACUCCAGACAAAGAGAAAGGUCUUUGAGAAGGUGAUGGCUGUGAGGCGCCUGAGAGAGGAGGAGAUGAUCCUUUGCAGGGAGAUGCGGCAUCACUGGACAGUGUUGCGAAUGCGAUCUGUGGUGUUGGACAAUCUCCUCAGACUCCUCCCUUGUUGGCAUGUCGGAGGAUGCACAGAAGGGACUCCAUAGCCUGGUUUUAAAAAAA